CACGUAGGGCGCGAGCGUUGUCCGGAAUUAUUGGGCGUAAAGAGCUCGUAGGCGGCCUGUUGCGUCCGCCGUGAAAGCCCGGGGCUUAACCCCGGGUCUGCAGUGGAUACGGGCAGGCUAGAGGUAGGUAGGGGAGAAUGGAAUUCCCGGUGUAGCGGUGAAAUGCGCAGAUAUCGGGAGGAACACCGGUGGCGAAGGCGGUUCUCUGGGCCUUACCUGACGCUGAGGAGCGAAAGCGUGGGGAGCGAACAGG
rnacentral:rRNA from 1 species